rnacentral:rRNA from 1 species
GACGAACGCUGGCGGCGUGCCUAAUACAUGCAAGUCGAACGAGAGCGACCGGUGCUUGCACUGGUCAAUCUAGUGGCGAACGGGUGAGUAACACGUGGGUAACCUGCCCAUCAGAGGGGGAUAACAUCCGGAAACGGAUGCUAAUACCGCAUAGGUCUUCGAGCCGCAUGGCUUGAUGAGGAAAAGAGGCGCAAGCUUCUGCUGUUGGAUGGACCCGCGGUGCAUUAGCUAGUUGGUGAGGUAACGGCUCACCAAGGCCGUGAUGCAUAGCCGACCUGAGAGGGUGAUCGGCCACAUUGGGACUGAGACACGGCCCAGACUCCUACGGGAGGCAGCAGUAGGGAAUCUUCCGCAAUGGACGCAAGUCUGACGGAGCAACGCCGCGUGAGUGAAGAAGGUUUUCGGAUCGUAAAACUCUGUUGUUAGAGAAGAACAAGUGCUAGAGUAACUGUUAGCGCCUUGACGGUAUCUAACCAGAAAGCCACGGCUAACUACGUG